GCUCACUUAGCUCAAUUGGAUAGAGCAGGGCACUUCUAAUGCUGCAUUUUAGGUUUGAGUUCUUAAGUGAGUA
rfam:Basidiobolus meristosporus CBS 931.73 K493scaffold_799, whole genome shotgun sequence.